rnacentral:rRNA from 1 species
GAUGAACGCUGGCGGCGUGCCUAAUACAUGCAAGUAGAACGCUGAAGGAGGAGCUUGCUCUUCUGGAUGAGUUGCGAACGGGUGAGUAACGCGUAGGUAACCUGCCUGGUAGCGGGGGAUAACUAUUGGAAACGAUAGCUAAUACCGCAUGACAACAGUUAUUGCAUGAUAACUGUUUAAAAGGGGCAACUGCUCCACUACCAGAUGGACCUGCGUUGUAUUAGCUAGUUGGUGAGGUAACGGCUCACCAAGGCGACGAUACAUAGCCGACCUGAGAGGGUGAUCGGCCACACUGGGACUGAGACACGGCCCAGACUCCUACGGGAGGCAGCAGUAGGGAAUCUUCGGCAAUAGACGGAAGUCUGACCGAGCAACGCCGCGUGAGUGAAGAAGGUUGUCGGAUCGUAAAGCUCUGUUGUAAGAGAAGAACGAGUGUGAGAGUGGAAAGUUCACACUGUGACGGUAUCUUACCAGAAAGGGACGGCUAACUACGUG